rnacentral:rRNA from 1 species
CGCCAGACUCCUACGGGAGGCAGCAGUGGGGGAUAUUGCACAAUGGGGGGAACCCUGAUGCAGCGACGCCGCGUGGGUGAAGGAGCGUUUCGGCGCGUAAAGCCCUAUCGGCAGGGAAGAAGAUGACGGUACCUGACCAAGAAGCCCCGGCUAACUACGUGCCAGCAGCCGCGGUAAUACGUAGGGGGCAAGCGUUAUCCGGAUUUACUGGGUGUAAAGGGAGCGUAGACGGCAGCACAAGUCUGGAGUGAAAUCCCGGGGCUUAACCCCGGAACUGCUUUGGAAACUGUGCGGCUGGAGUGCAGGAGGGGUAAGCGGAAUUCCUAGUGUAGCGGUGAAAUGCGUAGAUAUUAGGAGGAACACCGGUGGCGAAGGCGGCUUACUGGACUGUAACUGACGUUGAGGCUCGAAAGCGUGGGGAGCAAACAGGAUUAGAUACCCCAGUA